CCUGGUAGUCCACGCCGUAAACGAUGUCGACUUGGAGGUUGUGCCCUUGAGGCGUGGCUUCCGGAGCUAACGCGUUAAGUCGACCGCCUGGGGAGUACGGCCGCAAGGUUAAAACUCAAAUGAAUUGACGGGGGCCCGCACAAGCGGUGGAGCAUGUGGUUUAAUUCGAUGCAACGCGAAGAACCUUACCUGGUCUUGACAUCCACGGAAGUUUUCAGAGAUGAGAAUGUGCCUUCGGGAACCGUGAGACAGGUGCUGCAUGGCUGUCGUCAGCUCGUGUUGUGAAAUGUUGGGUUAAGUCCCGCAACGAGCGCAACCCUUAUCCUUUGUUGCCAGCGGUCCGGCCGGGAACUCAAAGGAGACUGCCAGUGAUAAACUGGAGGAAGGUGGGGAUGACGUCAAGUCAUCAUGGCCCUUACGACCAGGGCUACACACGUGCUACAAUGGCGCAUACAAAGAGAAGCGACCUCGCGAGAGCAAGCGGACCUCAUAAAGUGCGUCGUAGUCCGGAUUGGAGUCUGCAACUCGACUCCAUGAAGUCGGAAUCGCUAGUAAUCGUGGAUCAGAAUGCCACGGUGAAUACGUUCCCGGGCCUUGUACACACCGCCCGUCACACCAUGGGAGUGGGUUGCAAAAGAAGUAGGUAGCUUAACCUUCGGGAGGGCGCUUACCACUUUGUGAUUCAUGACUGGGGUGAAGUCGUAACAAGGUAACCGUAGGGGAACCUGCGGUUGGAUCACCUCCUUACCUUAAAGAAGC
rnacentral:rRNA from 2 species